GAGGGUGACAGCUCGGGGGCAGAGCGCAUGCUUAGCAUGCUUAAGGUCCUGGGUUCAAUUCCCAGCACCUCCA
rnacentral:tRNA from 1 species